GUGCGUAAAAAUAUAUGUAUUAUAUCUCUUCAAUUUUGUUUUUAAUUACUGUGCAAAUUUCAUGUCUGAUCAUUCUGUUCUGCGCAAUAGUUAAUCGAUUAAAUCUUGCCGUUAAUCGAUUAACUGGGUUGUUUCCAGCAGUUGGGUUUUAGUUCAAGAAGCGGUGAUUGAUAACCGCUACACCUAUUCAACCUCCCUUCUAGGUGUUCCUAGGCCACUAAUACCUAACACAACUAACUUUGGGAACCCUGCAAUUGAUAAUAGAUGCAAAAUAUUAGUGAUGGUUGUUAUGGAGAUUAAAGGCCUACAAUGAUUGAUCCAUCAUCCUUAAUUUAGAUGUUACAAUUAGAGCAAUAAUGAACCACCAAAAGCAAUCAGGAAUCGCUAGAAAGGCAAGCAUCUAAACAUCAGAGCACUUAUGGGAUUAAUCUAAUGAGAACGAGCCGUUGAUCAUAAAAAGGGAUAUCAACAGAUGCAAAUCAGAUUUGGUAUUGUAUCAGAUACUAUAUGGCAGCUUCAAUGCAUUGAAUCAGGAAAUCAGCAGGUCAUGGCAUGUUACAUAUUGUUGGUAAGUCAGAAAGUUUUCACAAACCAGCUAUAAAAACCCAUUCCGAGCACAGUGAAAAAGGGAUUACACAUACAUAACGAUAAGAAAAAUCAAAGAGCAAAAGAAAGAGAUUUUCAUCGCAGAAAAAGCAUAUAAGAGGUAGAGGUAUUCUGAAAAGGCAGGAAGUACCACUUUGCAUACAGGGUAAAAGGGAGCAUUGGGCCAAUCAACUAAAAAGGGAAGGCUAAAAAGGAUAAAGGGAGAGACUUUUGUACAAUACUCCUACUACACCCAUCCCAGUGUCAACGGUCCUAACAUGUAUUGUAGUGUCUGGUUCCUCUGAUUUUAAGACCUAAUCUUAUAAACUGAAUGGUUUCUAAUUAUGAACAGUAAGAGUAGUUACAAUAUACAAAAGCUUGUUUAACUUUAAUCCCUUGAUGUAAAGGUGUGGAACCUCCUUGUAUGUGAUGUUUAUUACCGCUAAUAGGGGUUUGAAUUUAUCUUCAUCAUUAUGCCAUUAAUAAACACGUUAGGAUAAGUUGAGAAAUUUCUCAACAAGGUUCCAUAAAAAAAACUCUUUAAGUAAGUCACGUCAUACCUUUCUUUUACCACACAAUGAUCAAAUAAAAUCCACACAGUUUUUAUCCAUAUUCGGAAGCUUGAUAAUUAAUUAGCCUCAAGAGUAAGACUCUUACCCUACAGCGGUGGAUUGAGCCACCGUUGAGCCUCCUUGGCUGUCCCGGUGUGACCAUACAUCACCACGCCAAUGGCCAGGACCUCCGUCGAGUUGGUAUCACAAUGAGAAGAUGAAGAAGGCGACCAUAUUUUUCUCUCCAACCAGUUUUGAAUGCACGGAAGCUAGAACUUCCCCUUCGGCGUUAUCUUCCAUCACCCAACUGAACCACCAUAACGACCAUGAUUCCGCUUUCACCAAAUCAAACGACCAUAAACCACCGAGAGUGGGAACCGAACCACCAUAAGCCACCUAGAACGGCACAAUCUCAGCCAUCGCGAGCUACCGCAACUCGUCACAAACCGUCACCAUCGCCGUCGAAGGAGUGAAGAAGAAGGGAGGCUAGGGAUUGAAAUCCCCUUUCUAAUUUGAGGGUCAAAAACCCGUAUGGGGUUACCCUCUCUUACUUCUUUAUUUCACUUACCCUUUAUUCAUUUACUUACACUUUUGUUUUUUU
rnacentral:lncRNA from 1 species